UAUAUUGGUCCUACCGUUACAUUUUGUCAAUAUUGCUGUUAAAUAUGAGGGCAAAUUGGUCAUUUUAUAUGUUAAAAAUAAAUAAAUAUUAAAAAAUGAAAUAAAAACUAUCUCUCUCUCUCUCUCUUUUUCCACAACCCAAGAGUGGUACCAAGAAUUGGAAUUCCAACAAUUGCACUUAAAAUCAGAUGCUCCAAAAGUGUUGCAUUUCCAAUUUUUAUAGGCUAGGGCAACCUUUAGAGAACUCCAAAGGCCCUGCAUCAGAUUCCCCAACAUAACCCAAAAACAUCCAUCUCACAUUUUGACUAUACUGGCCAACAUAACUAAGUCCCAAAUCAGUCAAGCCCCCAGCACGGAGAUACAAAGCAAACCUUUUGAGCUUAGCACAGCCCCUCAAAAGAGCUCAAACCCCAUUGCCAAGUGGUAAAUCUGUUAUCGUCUCUUCUCGGUCAAGCAAGACAAGUCGAAAAUCACAAAGAUUCUUAAAAUACCUGGAGGGUCUACCGUUGGAUGGGCUUGACUAUGAGUCGAUACUGGGACAGUGAUGUGAGAAUCCGGUGGGAGUAGCCGGGCCUCUGUUGCUGGACGGAAAAGAGUACAUGGUGCCUUUGGCGACGACGGAGAGUACCUUGGUGGCCAGCAUCAAUAGAGGCCUUCAGCAUCCUCCACGAAGACGCCAUGACCAGAGCUCCAAUUGUUAGGUUUGGCUAUGCCGUUAGGGCUGUAGAGCUCAUGUUAUUCAACAACAACCUAGACCCUCUUUCCCUCCCCCUUGAUUUCCCUUUGUUGUUGAGAGACAACCACCCACCACCCACCACCCACCACCCACCACCCUCCUCCCCACCUCCUAAAAUCACAGCCACUGUCAAUUUCUCACCCUCAAAGACGCCGAAAUUGCUGAG
rnacentral:lncRNA from 1 species